rnacentral:rRNA from 1 species
GACGAACGCUGGCGGCGUGCCUAAUACAUGCAAGUUGAGCGCUGAAGGUUGGUACUUGUACCAACUGGAUGAGCAGCGAACGGGUGAGUAACGCGUGGGGAAUCUGCCUUUGAGCGGGGGACAACAUUUGGAAACGAAUGCUAAUACCGCAUAAAAACUUUAAACACAAGUUUUAAGUUUGAAAGAUGCAAUUGCAUCACUCAAAGAUGAUCCCGCGUUGUAUUAGCUAGUUGGUGAGGUAAAGGCUCACCAAGGCGAUGAUACAUAGCCGACCUGAGAGGGUGAUCGGCCACAUUGGGACUGAGACACGGCCCAAACUCCUACGGGAGGCAGCAGUAGGGAAUCUUCGGCAAUGGACGAAAGUCUGACCGAGCAACGCCGCGUGAGUGAAGAAGGUUUUCGGAUCGUAAAACUCUGUUGGUAGAGAAGAACGUUGGUGAGAGUGGAAAGCUCAUCAAGUGACGGUAACUACCCAGAAAGGGACGGCUAACUACGUGCCAGCAGCCGCAGUAAUAC